rnacentral:rRNA from 1 species
UACAGAGGUCUCGAGCGUUUUUCGGAUUUACUGGGCGUAAAGGGUGCGUAGGAGGCCGCGCAAGUCAGGCGUGAAAGCCCGGGGCUCAACCCCGGAACGGCGUUUGAAACUGCGCGGCUGGAGGGCCGGAGAGGCUGCCGGAAUUCCCGGUGUAGCAGUGAAAUGCGUAGAGAUCGGGAGGAACACCAAAGGCGAAGGCAGGCAGCUGGAAGGCACCUGACUCUGAGGCACGAAAGCCAGGGGAGCAAACGGG